CAUGCACUCCCUCCGUUUCGAAUUACUUGUCGCAGGUAUGAAUGCAUCUAGAUGUAUUUUAGUUCUAAAUACAUCCAUUUAUGCGACGAGUAAUUUGGAACGAAGGGAGUAUUUU
rfam:Triticum aestivum genome assembly, contig: Triticum_aestivum_CS42_TGACv1_scaffold_486150_6AS